AAUCAACGCUGGCGGCGUGCCUAACACAUGCAAGUCGAACGCGAAAGCCCCGCAAGGGGUAAGUAGAGUGGCAAACGGGUGAGUAACACGUGGGUGACCUGCCUUCGAGUGGGGGAUAACGUCCCGAAAGGGACGCUAAUACCGCAUAACAUCCUGCCUUUUAAGAGGUGGACAUCAAAGCUGGGGAUCGCAAGACCUAGCGCUUGAAGAGGGGCCCGCGCCUGAUUAGCUAGUUGGUGGGGUAANGGCUCACCAAGGCAACGAUCAGUAUCCGGCCUGAGAGGGCGGACGGACACACUGGGACUGAGACACGGCCCAGACUCCUACGGGAGGCAGCAGUGGGGAAUUGUUCGCAAUGGGCGCAAGCCUGACGACGCAACGCCGCGUGGAGGAUGAAGACC
rnacentral:rRNA from 1 species